rnacentral:misc_RNA from 1 species
GUGUGACUGGAGAACCCUGCAACUGCUAACACAAGUUAAACCACAGCCCCAAAUAAGGUUUGGACAACCAUUUCUGCAUUGGAAUCAAUGAAAACACAUUACAACUUCUUUUGCUUGACAAUAUGCCACAGUCCAUAACACCAGAGUACAGCUCAUAAGCAUAACUUAAAAUUUUUCUCAAAAAAUUUAAGAUUUUCUGCUUGUGAUACACAGAAUGCUA